CGCAGCCGCGGUAAUUCCAGCUCCAAUAGCGUAUAUUAAAGUUGUUGCAGUUAAAAGCUCGUAGUUGAAUUUCGGGGUCAGCAGGUCGGUCGUGCCAAUGGUAUGCACUGGCCUUGCUGAUUCCUCCCUCUUGAUGAGCCGUAAUGCCAUUAAUUUGGUGUUGCGGGGAAUCAGGACUGUUACUUGAAAAAUUGAGUGUUUAAAGCAGGCAAGCGCUUGAAUACAUUAGCAUGGAAUAAUGAAAUAGGACGUUCGAUCCUUAUUUUGUUGGUUUCUAGGAUUGACGUAAUGAUUAAUAGGGAUAGUUGGGGGCUAUUAGUAUUCAAUUGU
rnacentral:rRNA from 1 species